UACGGAGGGGGCUAGCGUUGUUCGGAAUUACUGGGCGUAAAGCGCACGUAGGCGGACUGUUAAGUCGGGGGUGAAAUCCUGGGGCUCAACCUCAGAAUUGCCUCCGAUACUGGCAGUCUCGAGUGCGGGAGAGGUGAGUGGAAUUCCCAGUGUAGAGGUGAAAUUCGUAGAUAUUGGGAAGAACACCAGUGGCGAAGGCGGCUCAC
rnacentral:rRNA from 1 species